GACGAACGCUGGCGGCGUGCUUAACACAUGCAAGUCGAACGGAAAGGCCCUGCUUGCAGGGUACUCGAGUGGCGAACAGGUGAGUAACACGUGGGUGAUCUGCCCUGCACUUCGGGAUAAGCCUGGGAAACUGGGUCUAAUACCGGAUAGGAGCCAUUUUUAGUGUGAUGGUUGGAAAGUUUUUUCGGUGUAGGAUGAGCUCGCGGCCUAUCAGCUUGUUGGUGGGGUAAUGGCCUACCAAGGCGGCGACGGGUAGCCGGCCUGAGAGGGUGGGCGGCCACAUUGGGACUGAGAUACGGCCCAGACUCCUACGGGAGGCAGCAGUGGGGAAUAUUGCACAAUGGGCGCAAGCCUGAUGCAGCGACGCCGCGUGGGGGAUGACGGCCUUCGGGUUGUAAACUCCUUUCGCUAGGGACGAAGCUUUUUGUGACGGUACCUAGAUAAGAAGCACCGGCUAACUACGUG
rnacentral:rRNA from 1 species